rnacentral:rRNA from 1 species
GAGACCCACGCCAACAGUUGCCAGCAUGUCCUCCGGGAUGGUGGGGACACUGUUGGGACCGCCUCUGCUAAAGAGGAGGAAGGAAUGGGCAACGGUAGGUCAGCAUGCCCCGAAUUAUCCGGGCUACACGCGGGCUACAAUGGUCAGGACAAUGGGUAUCGACACCGAGAGGUGAAGGCAAUCUCUUAAACCUGUCCUUAAUUCGGAUUGUGGGCUGCAACUCGCCCACAUGAAGCUGGAAUCCGUAGUAAUCGCGUCUCAAAAUGGCGCGGUGAAUAU